CCUACGGGAUGCAGCAGUGGGGAAUAUUGCACAAUGGGCGCAAGCCUGAUGCAGCCAUGCCGCGUGUAUGAAGAAGGCCUUCGGGUUGUAAAGUACUUUCAGCGGGGAGGAAGGCGAUAAGGUUAAUAACCUUGUCGAUUGACGUUACCCGCAGAAGAAGCAGCGGCUAACUCCGUGCCAGCAGCCGCGGUAAUACGGAGGGUGCAAGCGUUAAUCGGAAUUACUGGGCGUAAAGCGCACACAGGCGGUCUGUCAAGUCGGAUGUGAAAUCCCCGGGCUCAACCUGGGAACUGCAUUCGAAACUGGCAGGCUGGAGUCUUGUAGAGGGGGGUAGAAUUCCAGGUGUAGCGGUGAAAUGCGUAGAGAUCUGGAGGAAUACCGGUGGCGAAGGCGGCCCCUGGACAAAGACUGACGCUCAGGUGCGAAAGCGUGGGGAGCAAACAGGAUUAGAUACCCUUGUAGUC
rnacentral:rRNA from 1 species